AUAUAAGAAAUGAUAAAUCAUAUAUGAUUUCGGCUCAUAAUUAGGUGUUAUAAUCACCCUUAUAUU
rnacentral:tRNA from 1 species